ensembl:piRNA 21ur-3484 ncRNA
UAUUGUAAUCAUGUUCCAAUU